UCCUCAGUAUGUUACAUUUAAUGUCAAAACAUACUUUGUAGACUAUGUGAACUGCAAUCUUAUUUUGAGAGCUAAUGUAGAAUUAUGAUUAUAUUUGGAAGCCUGAUUCUGUUUGCCUGAUUUGGUCCAUUUGGUUGUAUAUUAAGGCUUGAACAUAAGGUUUGUGAUAUAAAGCUGUCUUUAAAUAGGCUCCAUGACAUUUCAAGUUAUCUGCUGGGAAAUAAUCAACUUUUUCAAAUUCAUAAUAGCCUUGCUUUGGGGAAAUUAGUUUUGAUUUGAUGAGCAAAUGGAUCACUAAGGAUCACUGAGGUGGGGAGUAGUGAGGGGAAGCAGUCAUAGAAACCACUAGUUAACACAUGUCACGGCUAAUAAUAUCAGGUAUUUUGAUGCUAGUGUCAAUGAGAUCCAGCAUGCCAGUUA
rnacentral:lncRNA from 1 species